UAUUAUCUCUUUUCUCACAGGAUUAAUUGGAUGGCAUAGUAAAACAAUAAGCUACUAUGAUCUAUUUCAUCUUUUAUUUUCAUUUCAGCCACAAACAAGUUGCAGGUCAGUCCCUUUCAGCCUCUUCCACAGCUAUGGUGUUUAGGACAAAACUGUGGUAGGCUCAUAAAAAUAGGAGCAGUUGUGCUUGAGAUUAGUCUGAAAGAAUAUACCCAUGGCUCAGAACAGUACACUGAAACGUACUAAGAAAGGUAAGUAUGCAGCAAUAGAGGGAGUCACUAAAGAAAGAAGAUAAAUGUAUUGAAACUACUGUUCUGACACUAGAUUUCCAAAGCACCAUCUCAUGAUGUCGGCUGUGGGAAGGAAACAGUUUGUUAGAGCAUUCCUCCCCUCCCUAAUUAUGUAGUGACUUACAUUUACCAAUUGGUUCUUUUCAAUGUCAGAGAGCUGUACUGCAAGCCACACAACUUUACAUAUUCGAUUUGUUUACUACGUCCUCAUAAAUUCCACAGGCUAGAAUAAAUAGCUUUAUUAAAAUUGUUUUUCUGUGAAUUGAGGCUUUGUUGAGGCUUUUGGCUGAUACAUAAGCAUACCAUUAGGUUACAGAAAUGUGCAUCGUGUUUUUCAUUUUGUCUACCCUUUGCUAAGCCUGCUUGUCAUAGCUGCUUGCUGAUUAGACUUAAAUAGCUUCAAGUCAGCUUUUCAUCCUUGCGUCAUGCAAAGGCAAAUGAUUUUUGUUUUGUAUUUUUUUCCCCUGUGGUGUGCCAGCCUGCUUCAGAAACAUGCCAGCCCUUGCAGAGCACGGAAAGAAAGAGUUAUCAGGAGCCAGAGUUGCAUUCCAGAGGAGAACAGCCUCAAAGCUCCUGUUCCUCUGUGUACAUGCAUAUGUGCCUGUUUGGGGUCAUUACAAGCACACAUUGAAGAGGUAAAUACGAAGAAGCUGUGCUAGACCUGUACUUCUGUGAAUGGAGAGUAAGCUGCAGGAAGGCAGUCAGGGGAUCACACUCCUAACUAUUCCAUAUUUCUGAAUGGGCCGUUGCUGGCCUAAUUUCUACCUUUCCCUGAAUGAAUGUAUGAGUUUCUUAUGAGAACUUGUGUAAACUGUGGUUCAAAUUUCAUUGAAAAUGACAUCUGCCAAGAAUGGUGCUAAAUCCUGUGAUAAACCGUGUAAUUCAACAAUUAAUCAUAUGCAUCACAAAAGUAUAUUAUCUCAGAGAAAUAUUAUGUUUUCUGCUUUGACUGGUACUGCAUCAGUAUUUUGAAUACAAUCCGAAUUAUUUAUUGGUUUUCAGUAAAAAGUUGCUUCUUUGAUCUUCAAAAGGAUUGACAAAGUAUCUGGAAUUCCUUUUUAAAGGCUGAGUCAGAAAAACUGUAACAUAUUACAUAUUAACAUUCAAAUAUUGUUUUGGAAGAAGGUCCUAAGUUCCUAUGGAAGUAAUGCAAAGCAUCUCUGGUGAUCCUCAAUGCUGUAGUGCCAGUGUGUGCGUCAGAACAAUUUCAACAUUAAGUUAGAUUUUUCAAGUCCAUAAUCCUGUCUCCUCUUGCUUUAUUGCCCAUCAUCCUAUUUCUGUGUCUCAGAAUUUCCUAGGCAGCUAGCUCAUUUGGCAUCAUUUCUUAAGGCAUAAACUAGAAUUGAGCUCAAACUUUUCAAAACAGAAAGUAAAACAGCAAUUUUCCCUAUGGAGGCAUAUGGAAUUAUUAACAGUAUUCUCUAACUUUUCACUAACAGAAUCACAGAAUGGCCAGAGUUGGAAGGGACCUCGAGGAUCAUGAAUCUCCAACCCCCCUGCCACAGGCAGGGCCACCAACCUCCACAUUUAAUCCCAGCCCAGGCUGCCCAGGGCCCCAUCUAACCUGGCCUUGAACACCUCCAGGGAUGGACAGGGCAUCCACAGCCUCUCUGGGCAGCUGUUCCAGCACCUCACCACUCUCACAGCAAAGAACUUCCCCCUGACAUCCAGCCUAAAUCUUCCCUCCCUCAACUUCAAACCAUUUCCCCUUGUCCUGCCAUUAUCUACCCUUUCAAAGAGUUGACUCCCCUCUUCUUUGUAAGCUCCCUUUAGGUAUUGAAAGGCUGCAAUGUGGUCACCUCAUAACAACAGUUAUGAACAACACAGUCUUGUUUCUACCAUCAUUUCCUGUGCUGUCAGAAAUAGAUUAUGCUCAGUACAUACUCAUGUGUGUUUCCUAAAUUGCUUUGGAACUUAAAGUCUUGUUUCAGCUGAAAUUAAACAAAAGAAUGUUGACCUCAAAGAUUAUUAUGUUUCCAUAUAUUCUGUAGAAAGAGACAGUCAAACUGAGGAUUAAAAUUAUGUAAGUUUCUGGCUGACAGCAAGACUGCAGAAGGCACUCACAUUUAUUUACGAUACUCGGGAAUCUGCAUGCCAGUUCUUAUAAAUACAUCAUAGGGAAAGCUUUAGGGUUUUGUAUCUCAGCCACCAAGACCUACCAACUACAAGGCACCAGCCCACAAGAAAUGAGGUUUCAUUCAUUCUACACUUCUACUAUCACUUAUUAGUUUAUCACUUUUCAUUAGUCAAACACGGAUUUAUGUGGGGAAUGAGGGGUGGAAGGGUAAGAAAUCUUAACAUCCCUUAUUACUGCAUUAAAGUGCUGCGCAUCUGUCUGAGCUUUCUGAUACGUUGGCUCCAGCCAAGGUGCCUGAUGUUCAGAAGCUGUGACCCAUAUCUGUACAGUACUUUCACACUGUGCCCGCACAAAAAAUUUCAUACUAUGGGUUUACUGUAGAAGUUUUGUGCAAUUACACUGCACAGCAGCACACCUGUCUCUAUCCACCAGUCAGUAAGGGUGGAAUUAGUUUAAGCCAGAAUGUAAGCGAUGCAAACAGUCUCUCAUUUCCAAUAUUCAGCAUACACAUUGAGCACAUUGGUGGUAAUGUCAUUUUCCCUAAUUUAGUGAUUAUUCUGAAGGCAUGCAAAAAAAAAAAAAACCCACCCAUUACUGAUGGUAUUAUGUUCAUUAGGAGAAGUAAAGAUUCAUUUUGCAAAGAGAGGAUGUUGGAGAACUCACUUAUGAUUACGAUGUUCUAUGUAGUAUUGUGCCUUAGAUAAUGGAAGUUAUACUACAUAGCAAAUAGGGAGAUUAAAAAUCAAUUUGAUAGCUGAGGGAAGAAAAAUGUUCUACUUAUCUCGUGAAACAUUUUAAUUUUGUGCCAUUUACACAGCUGAUUCUGAGGCAGUGAAACAAGUAUAUGACAUACAUUAGUGUGACAACUUUGAUCCUUAUGGUUAGCUGCAGCUGCUAUGCAAGUUUGAAAAGCAAUACUUUUUCUUCUUUGAAGAUUAACAGUCAGAAAAAUUCUUCCUGCUGGUGAACUGCAGAACACUGAACUCUGAGCUGUUGUAUUAGGCUGUGCAAAAGAUGGCACUAAGGUAGCUGGAAUUUCUGCCUUAUAUUUCAGUGUCUCUGCCCUGCUUUGGCUCCACAACCAAAGUGUGCUGAGACCUGCCUGCACCUGUCAGCAUAGGCAUGCCCUUGUUCACGUAUUUGCAAUGUGAUUGUAGGCUAUAAUCAGCAAAAAAAAUGGGUGAGGCUGGAAAAAGGUUAGAACUUGUCUGGAAUUUUUGGUUAAAUAUCAAGAAAUUCUGAUUCUUCAAAAUACAGCCUUUUUGUGGGAGCACAAUGUAUUUGAAAUUAAGAAUUCUCAAAAGGAUAGUUCAGACUGGGAGUCAAACAAAUGGCUGAAAGCAAAGACCACCCAAAAACUUAGAUAAUCAUGGAACCAAGUAACUAGUUUUCAUCUGGGAUUUAGGCAGUUAGCGCCAGAAAUCUUUGUUUUCAUAUCAGAUAGAGCACAGAUUUAUGAUCUGAACUCCCAUAUUCCAUAUGACAGAACUUUUCAGGAUAAAAAUAGCAACACUAACAAGGUUCCCCAAGGAAAUUAGAAGCAUAUCACUCUUACGUCUGUUCUUAGAAAGAUGUUGGAGUAAAAGCAAUUCGUUUCUAAGCAUGAAACAAAUCAUGAAAGCAAAGAAAGAAACUGUAUGAAAACUAAUAAAAAGAAACUAUCUAAUUGUACUGGAUCUGGCCAGGAUGAAGUUCUUCUUCAUAGCACCCGCUACGAUGCUGAAUUUUGAAUUUGUUAACUAAAACAGUUUUGAUAACAAGUUUUGGCUUUAGCUGAG
ensembl:lncRNA